rnacentral:rRNA from 1 species
AUACGGAGGAUGCAAGCGUUAUCCGGAUUUAUUGGGUUUAAAGGGUGCGCAGGCGGCCAUUUAAGUCAGCGGUUAAAUCGUGGGGCUCCACCCCAUUCUGCCGUUGAUACUGGGUGGCUUGAUUGCGGUCGAGGUUGGCGGAAUUCGUUGUGUAGCGGGGAAAUGCAUAGAUAUGACGAAGAACACCGAUUGCGUAGGCAGCUGACCAGACCGCAAAUGACGCUCAUGCACGAAAGUGCGGGGAUCGAACAGGAUUAGAUACCCUGGUAGUCCGCACAGUAAACGAUGAAUACUUGUUUUCGGCGAUAUAAUGUCGGAGGCAAAGCGAAAGCGAUAAGUAUUCCACCUGGGGAGUACGCCGGCAACGGUGAAACUCAAAUGAAUUGGCGGGG